UGCAGUCAGUCCCCUAGGCGGCGAGCGC
rnacentral:sRNA from 1 species